CUUAUAGAUGGAUCCGCGCUGCAUUAGCUAGUUGGUAAGGUAACGGCUUACCAAGGCAACGAUGCAUAGCCGACCUGAGAGGGUGAUCGGCCACACUGGAACUGAGACACGGUCCAGACUCCUACGGGAGGCAGCAGUAGGGAAUCUUCCGCAAUGGGCGAAAGCCUGACGGAGCAACGCCGCGUGAGUGAUGAAGGUCUUCGGAUCGUAAAACUCUGUUAUUAGGGAAGAACAUAUGUGUAAGUAACUGUGCACAUCUUGACGGUACCUAAUCAGAAAGCCACGGCUAACUACGUGCCAGCAGCCGCGGUAAUACGUAGGUGGCAAGCGUUAUCCGGAAUUAUUGGGCGUAAAGCGCGCGUAGGCGGUUUUUUAAGUCUGAUGUGAAAGCCCACGGCUCAACCGUGGAGGGUCAUUGGAAACUGGAAAACUUGAGUGCAGAAGAGGAAAGUGGAAUUCCAUGUGUAGCGGUGAAAUGCGCAGAGAUAUGGAGGAACACCAGUGGCGAAGGCGACUUUCUGGUCUGUAACUGACGCUGAUGUGCGAAAGCGUGGGGAUCAAACA
rnacentral:rRNA from 1 species